UUGAGUACCGGAUUUUGGGUGGAUCUGAAAUUUCGCUGGAUAAUUUGGAGUUAAGCGAUUCGAGCGAGUCAGAGUGGGACAGUGAGUCAGUAAGGAGCAGUGACGAAGAUGAAGACGAACACUUUUAUGAGAGCGACGAAGAUGAUGCAGGAGACAUCGACGCCGAGUUAGGAAUGACCAAUUCGGGAGAACAAACUCAUUACCAGUCGCAGCUCCCUGAACACAUUAGUCGUGUAAAUGUUGACGAUUUCGUAGUUGACUUGAAUGAGGGUGAGACCCCGAAUUUUACUUGGCAGCCAGGAAUGGAGUUUCAAACGGGGAUGACCUUCAAAAGUCGCGAUGUUGUUGAGACCUGUGCAACCGCUUAUUCAAUCGCUAUGGGGAAGGAGCACCAGUUUCAUCGGACUACCCCCAAGACAAUCGUGUUUGUUUGCCGACACAACGAAAUCUGCGGAUGGUGGUUGCGAGCAACCAAACUACAGACAAAUCAUACAUGGACCCUGACAAAAUAUAUAGGGCCACACACGUGCGAUCAUUUUAUGACAGGUCGCGACCAUCGAAACUUUAAGUCUAGUCAAAUCGUAGAAUUUAUCAAGGACCUGGUGUUGGAACAACGCGACAUUCGCAUCAAGACGCUGAUGGCUGGUAUUUGGGAAAGAUUUUCUGUAAUGCCUACCUAUAAAAGAACUUGGUUAGCUAAGGAGAAGGCAAUAUGCAGCGCCUACGGAAACUGGAAGGACUCUUUCGCCGAAGUUUGUAGCUUCAUGGCCAAUGUGAAGGUCACAAAUCCCGGAUCAUUCUGGCAUGCAGAAGGCGAUCCAAUUUACACAAACCACUCGCAAAAUCCCCGAGUGAGAAUGUUUCGCAGAAUGUUUUGGACCUUCUACCCGAUGACAGCUGGAUUUGCUUUUUUGAAACCUGUGCUAUUCGUUGACGGGACUCAUUUGUAUGGAAAAUACACAAUGACCUUGUUGAUCGCAUCGGCGAUAGAUGGAAACAAUCACAUAAUGCCACUUGCCUUUGCACUUGUCGAAUCGGAGAGCGCAGCAAGCUAUGAAUAUUUUUUGAGUCAUCUCCGGGAGCAUGUUAUCAAGGAGAGAAAAGUGGCAAUUAUUUCGGAUCGCGCUGGUGGAAUAAUAGCUGUUUUGAAGCGCCCGGAGUGGGCGGGUGUUUCUCACAUGUUUUGCAUAAGGCAUUUAGCGAGUAAUUUCAAUACUCAUUUCAGAGAUAAGGAUUUGAAAAAACUGGCAGAAAAAGCAGGUCCCCCCGGCGCCGAUGCCGUAUAGUGACUCAUCUUUUAGACAUACGACAUUUGCCAACACUCGAGAUCCUUUUGCGCCAUCUGAUUCACAGGUUCGCCAGCCGCCGAUUCCGUCUUUCCAUUCAUAUCUGGGAGAGAUGGGAUAUACUCCACUAGGUACGCCGGCUCAGCCAGAGUCAGAU